CUCUUCUGCGCCACUGCGGCAGUCGCGUGAGCAGUGAUAUUCGUUUCCUGUGCGCCGGCUACCGGCCUGGCGCCACAAUAUGAAAACAAUGACGGAGCCACUACGCUGGCUCAAAUUAUGCUGCGUCAUCUUUAAAUAAUGCAUGAAAAGAAAUACAAACAACUCAGUGGCAAAAAUGUUGUUUAUUUACUAGAGCUAAAGUGUGUUCUACAUAUCCUAGAAUUGCUAAUCGGUAUACAGCUUCUCGCUUCACUGCUGGAAUCCAGGUGUGUUUUGUUGUUCGGAAAUCUAAACACUUUAAUAAGUAGGUUAUAUCUGGGCCUGAGGGAGCAUCCAACCACUGAGCAACAUGGUUCUAGUUUUAAUACUGACAUUUUUAAUGGCGAGAUACAAUAUCACAAUCUCACUGUGCAUAAAGCACCUGCCGUUGUUUUGAAUGUGCUCGACAACUAACCAGAAACGUCCAAGGAACAAAGACGCCACUUCCUGAAACUGACAAAUAGCCACUGAGAUGUUUCUAUAAAAACUGAGACUUCAACAGCACUGUGGUAUAAGUGAUGCUGUAAUGAAUGAUGUAUUAUAAGGCUGGUGAUCUGUGAUGGUUUUGUUCUCUCUGCAGAUGUUGAUGCUGAACCCAGUGGUGGUGAUGUGACGUAUAGUGAACUUGUAAUAAAACCACAGAAAAAAUCUAUGAGAAUAAAAGAAAAAGCCAGUGUUGGUGCUGAUACUGUAUACUCAGAGCUGAAGCUGAACACCAAGACUUCACUGGACUGAACUCAUCCAUGUGGACAUCCGAUCUGCUCAUGGGCAAGUGUGGCUGGACUAAAGCUGGGGACCGUUUUGAUCAAAGUGGUGGAAGAGGAUGACACCACUUCAGUCCACAGCAGUGAAAAGAAAUGUUUGCCAGAUUCAGUAAUAUACUUGUGCAAACUGAAAGAGUAAAUUAGAUACUUAAAAAUUAAAUACACAGGGCUACAGAUUUCACGCUGUGGUUUGGAUGAUCUAGUAGACACCUUAUGAAGUCCUAUGAUGUAUAGCGCACAUUACAAUGGUUGCACAAUUGCUUGUUUUUUUGCUACAAAUUGCUUAUUUAAUUUAGUUAUGCAUUUACACAUUCCAGCUUUUGAGAAAUUGUUCAUUAUAAGUUUUACUCUCACAUUUUUACAUUAGAUUAUUUACAUUACUAUCGUGUACCAUGUGUCCUUUUUAACGUUGUUGUAUGUUUCAACUUAUACAGUACAUUAAUUAAACUCAUUUAACCAGUCACUCAUGUCACAGGUUUAACGGUUGUUUUUUGCAUACAGUCUGUAAAAUGAACUGAAAAUAUAAAAUUUAGUUUAUCAGAAGGUAAAUUAAUGUGUCCUGACUCACACUAUGUUCCUAAAUUCUGUCACAAUUGACCAGCUCAAGUUUUCUCAUGCCUACUUGUGUGUUAUAUUGUGUCACAUUAAUGUUACAAUCACUAAAAA
ensembl:lncRNA